rnacentral:lncRNA from 1 species
GACCAUAAGGGUUUAUGCUAAAAUUCAACAAUUUUCAAAUAUUUCAUGAAAUUAAUUCUUAUCCCUAAGUUUGUAUUUAAAAUAUAUUUAAGUUGACAAACUAAGGUUUUAUUAAUAAACUACAUAUAUCCCUAUGUAAAUCAAUGUUCCUCACAUGGUUUUAGAAUAAUAGGCUAUCAAUAAAGGGACAUACAUAAUUUGUCCAACAUCAGACAUACACACACAAUAAGCAAGACAAGGAUUGCUCUACAGAUACUGAAUAGACAUUAUUAAGAUGGAUGUAGCAAUCAAAAACUACAAUUUUAAAAAUACAGUUCAAUGACACUAGGAGAUAAAAAUAGUUCUUUCAUAAUUGUCCCUUUAUUAUUUAAUUUCCACUAACAAUACCAAAAUUGAAAUCGUUCAGGAAAACUGAUAUACUGCAAAUAACAACAAAAAAAAUCAAAUAAAAAUGAAAGAAAAAUCUUUAACCUCAUUAGUACAUUUUUAAAGAAUGCUCAGCAAAAGUCAGAAAACUAAGGGCACAAUCUGCUAUUAA